GACGAACGCUGGCGGCGUGCUUAACACAUGCAAGUCGAGCGGUAAGGCCCUUUCGGGGGUACACGAGCGGCGAACGGGUGAGUAACACGUGGGUGACCUGCCUUUAGCUCUGGGGAUAAGCCUGGGAAACUGGGUCUAAUACCGGAUACGACUCCGCGGUGCAUGCUGUGGGGUGGAAAGCCUUGUGCGGCUGGAGAUGGGCCCGCGGCCUAUCAGCUUGUUGGUGGGGUGAUGGCCUACCAAGGCGACGACGGGUAGCCGGCCUGAGAGGGCGACCGGCCACACUGGGACUGAGACACGGCCCAGACUCCUACGGGAGGCAGCAGUGGGGAAUCUUGCGCAAUGGGCGAAAGCCUGACGCAGCGACGCCGCGUGAGGGAUGACGGCCU
rnacentral:rRNA from 1 species